UUGGGUUCCUUGACCUAUAAUGAAGAUUUUCUGCUGAGCCAUCCUCGUCCAGACUCAUUUCUACUGGAAAAUGCACAAGCCCUGGCCUGGCCCAUCCUGAGGUGGAUACCGUACUUCAAGUGUGAAAUAUUGUUUUCCUUGACCAAAAAUGAAGAUUUCCUGCAGAGACUUCUCUUUCCACACUCAUUUCUAGAAAGGCUCAAACCCAGGCCAGGCCCAUCCUGUGGUGGAUACCAUACUUCAGCUGCGAAAUACAGGAUUCCUUGACAAAAAAUGAAGAUUUUCUGCUUAGAUUUCCAUCUCCUGGCUCAU